rnacentral:lncRNA from 1 species
UCACCUUCUCGGAACACACGAGGCUUGACCUUCUUGUCGAAUGAGUUCUUCACUCUCUGCUGAUAUGACUGACCAUGACACAUGGCAGUUAAUCUCUUCUUUUCAUUCAUUUGGUCGUAGCGACUCUGAAUCUAUUCAGCAUCAGUCAACUUGGGACUUCGAGGGUGCUAUUAUUCUUUUGUUUCUUUCUUUUGACUUUUUUUCUUUUUGAUUCUUUUUUUU